GACGAACGCUGGCGGCGCGCCUAACACAUGCAAGUCGAACGGAGCUGAGAGAAGCUUGCUUUUCUUAGCUUAGUGGCGAACGGGUGAGUAACGCGUGAGUAACCUGCCCUGGAGUGGGGGACAACAGUUGGAAACGACUGCUAAUACCGCAUAAGCCCACGAUCCGGCAUCGGAUUGAGGGAAAAGGAUUUAUUCGCUUCAGGAUGGACUCGCGUCCAAUUAGCUAGUUGGUGAGGUAACGGCCCACCAAGGCGACGAUUGGUAGCCGGACUGAGAGGUUGGGGGGCAACAUGGGGGCUGACACCCGGCCGGGAACACCACGGGAGGCGGGAGGGGGGUAUAUUGAACAAGGGGGGAACCCUGGAUGCGGCGACGCGUGGGGAAGAAAAAGGGUUUGCGGAUUGAAAACGCCUGGCGUUAGGAACGAUAAGGACGGUCCCAAAAAAAAAAACACCGGCUAACUACGU
rnacentral:rRNA from 1 species